GGCUGAGUGGCGCAAUGGUAGCGCGUUGUCUUCCGGUUGUUUCUCUUGCUUGGCAAAGGCUCAGGGUUCGAGUCCCUGCUUGGUCG
rfam:Ceratocystis platani strain CFO contig_00830, whole genome shotgun sequence.